UAGGAUUCCCUUAGUAGCGGCGAGCGAACAGGGAAAAGCCCAGCACUGAAUCCCGCGGCCGAAACCGGACGCUGGGAAAUGUAGUGUUAGGGAGGAUCCGCUAUCUCGUGAUUGUGCGGUGCGUCCAAGUCCUUCUUGAAUGGGGCCACAGCCCAUAGAGGGUGCCAGGCCCGUAGAGACUGCUGCCAAUUGCGAGAGGAUCUCUCCUCAGAGUCGGGUUGCUUGAGAGUGCAGCCCUAAGUGGGUGGUAAACUCCAUCUAAGGCUAAAUAUGACCACGAGACCGAUAGCGAACAAGUACCGUGAGGGAAAGUUGAAAAGAACUUUGAAGAGAGAGUUCAAUAGUACGUGAAACCGUUCAGGGGUAAACCUGAGAAACCCGAAAGGUCGAACAGAGAGAUUCAGUGUGUUUUAGCUGAGGUGCUGUUAUUUUGUGCGACAAUAUUUUUCUUUAUGAAAUUUUUGCGUCAUCAUUUCAGUUAUAUCUCGGUUAAACGCAUGCACUUCUCUCUUAGUAGGACGUUGCGACCUGUUGAGUGCCGGUCUAAGGCCCGUGGUGGAGCCCGUUUGAACGGCUUGCCGUUUUAGACGAACCCAUGGUGUUUUACCCGGCCGGCAUGCUCGACGGUAAACACUAAGGCGCAAGGCCGCUAUUUUUAGCGUUCAACCUAUGGCAAGCGCGCUUGUGGAGUCGGCGAUCGGACUUAGUGCCGAUCCUAGUCCCGAGUGGCUGUUAGCUGUGGUGUUCUUGAACAGACCUUGUUUUAAUGCCGAUCUGCAACGCUAUAGCUUUGGGUACUUUCAGGACNNNNNNNNNNNNNNNNNNNNNNNNNNNNAGCAUGUGCGCAAGUCAUUGGGAUUUUAUUAAACCCAAAGGCGCAAUGAAAGUGAAAGUUCGUCUUGCAUGGACUUAGGGAAGAUGGGUAAUCAAUUUGUAUUGCCUCGCAUUCCCGGGGCGUCUCAUUCUCAUUGCGAGAAGAGGCGCACCAAAAGCGUACACGCUGGGACCCGAAAGAUGGUGAACUAUGCCUGGUCAGGACGAAGUCAGGGGAAACCCUGAUGGAGGUCCGUAGCGAUUCUGACGUGCAAAUCGAUCGUCGGAACUGGGUAUAGGGGCGAAAGACUAAUCGAACCAUCUAGUAGCUGGUUCCCUCCGAAGUUUCCCUCAGGAUAGCUGGCGCUCAAAGCGUACGAGUUUCAUCCGGUAAAGCGAAUGAUUAGAGGCAUUGGGGUCGAAACGGCCUCAACCUAUUCUCAAACUUUAAAUGGGUGAGAUCUUCGGCUUGCUUGAACUCUUGAAGCCGUAAGACUCGAAUCAGAG
rnacentral:rRNA from 1 species